CCCAGCGGAUCGUCAACGACGAGCGGCACCUC
rnacentral:scRNA from 1 species